UGCAGGAGCUGAUGUUCC
rnacentral:snRNA from 1 species